rnacentral:lncRNA from 1 species
CCUCUCUUCUUAUAAACUACCCAGUCUCAGGUACUUCUUUAUAGCAGUGUGAGAACAGACUAAUACAAUGACUACUGAUCAUAGUGGAUUGGCCACUGGAGAGAAAGCUGAUGGAGCAGAGAGCACUUGGGAAGAAACCAUUAAACACUGAAAGAGGAAGAGGUGGUGGAGAUACAUUGGAGAGAACAAAUACAAUAGACUUAUCUGAGGUCAAAUCAACAGAACCCAGCAACGGAUCAGACAGAGAGAGAAAGCAGAAAGAGUGAAAUAAAACUCCACGGUUCUAGCCUGAGUGAUUAAGGGCAGAGCAAUGUUCUGGACCUUGCUGGGAGAUUCAGGAAGAAGAGGGAAAUCUGGGUUUAUUUCAAGGAGGGGUGGGAAGGAGAGAUGAGAUGAAGGAGGACCAGGAAAAUAAAAUAUUUCAAGUUAGCUAUGCUGCAUUGGAAGUGCUUACCGCAUAUCCAGAAAAAGUUUGCCUACCCUUGCACCGGAAGCAGGAGGGAAAGAGAUGGGCUUGUUGGAAACCAGGAAAGGAGAAAUUGACAGAGCUGCAGGGAGCAAUCCCUUUCCACCUUCACCCAGGACUGAGAUCAUGUCAUACAAAAGCCCUGUGUUGUUCAGAGGACCAGAGGGGCUGGAGUGGAGUGAAGUGGUGUGAUCUCGGCUUACUGCAA